rnacentral:tRNA from 1 species
GGUGCCUUGGAGAAGUGGAAACUCGCUCCCUUUGGGUAACUAGAAGUCAAGUUACAAACUGGGAGAGAUCACGGGUUCGAACCCCGUAGGUGCCC